UAUCUCUUGAGUUCUAGCCAAGAAAACAUUUAUCCAAAGAAAGACUUUAAAAGAAGAGAAGGAAACAUUAGACAUUUAUAAUGAAGAACUGUGUGCACUUGAAUUCACAUUCCCAAUGAUUGUGAUUAGCUGUCUAUGGAAGGCACUUGACUGAAACAGCUGAGAGGCGCACAUGGGAUAUUUUUGAAAAAUGGUAGAAUAAACCAAAAGGUUUGUAGCUUUUCAACUGGAUCUUUAAACAGCCAGAUGUAAACAAUGAGGUGAGACUAAAAUCUGGAAUGAUUGGAAGAAGAAGCUUCGUGUAGCAUAGCCGGAUAAAAUAGGAUUGUGCAUAUUCAUCAAACAGUGAUAGUGCAGGAGUCGUUGUUCUUAUUGACAAAACAAACUCUGGCAUGUAAUGGCGUGGUGUGAGGCAGCUAAGCUUGAUGGCCCAAGGAAUUUAACUACCAUGUAUGAAUGGGAAUGGUGGGACCUCGCCAUUUCUGACUGAACGUUCCUUUUCCUGUUGGUAAGGCCAUAGCAGCAUUUUUUUACUGUUGAACUGCGGAUUUGAUAAGAUUACUUUCUUUCUUUCUUUCUUUCUUGAUUUUGAUGAUUUAUUGCU